AGAGUUUGAUCCUGGCUCAGGAUGAACGUUGGCGGCGCGAUUAAGGCAUGCAAGUGGUGGGAUCGGUCAGUUUCCCUUGUGGAAACUGAUACGGACCGGCAAACGGGUGAGUAACGCGUUGGUAACCUGCCUUCGAGACGGGAAUAGCCCACCGAAAGGUGGAUUAAUGCCCGAUAGUCAUACAGAGCAUAUGCCCUGUAUGUAAACACGUUAAGUGCUCGAAGAGGGGCCUGCGUCUGAUUAGCUUGUUGGUGAGGUAAAAGCUCACCGAGGCAAAUCAGUAACGGGCGUGAGAGCGUGACCCGUCACACUGGGACUGAGACACUGCCCAGACUCCUACGGGGGGCUGCAGUCAUGAAUCUUCCACAAUGGCCGCAAGGCUGAUGGAGCGACGCCGCGUGUGGGAAUGACGCCGAAAGGUGUAAACCACUUUUCUGGGAGACGAAUUCGUGACGGUACCUCAGGUAACAAGGGGCUGCUAACUUCGUGCCAGCAGCAGCGGUAACACGAAGGCCUCAAACGUUAUCCGGAAUUACUGGGCUUACAGGGUCCGCAGGCGGUUUAGUAAGUUGGUAGUAAAAUCUCCAGGCUUAACUUGGAGGCUGCUACCAAAACUACUAAACUUGAGGCUGGAAGAGGUGGGUGGAAUUCUCGGUGUAGUCGUAAAAAGCGCUGAUAUCGAGAGGAACACCGAAUGCGAAAGCAACCCACUGGAACAAGCCUGACGCUCAGGGACGAAAGCAUGGGGAGCGAAGCGGAUUANAUACCCGCGUAGUCCAUGCCGUAAACAAUGUGCACUANCUAUUGGGAGUAUCGACCCUCUCAGUG
rnacentral:rRNA from 1 species